AGCUCCGAACCCCGCCACCCUCUGGGCGAACGGAAUGGCACCCGCGGAGACGGGCGGGGACGGGCGAAAGCGGGUUUGCUCCGACCCGAAGCUGAGCCCGGGUUGGAGGGCGAGACCGUAGGCGAGAAUGGCCGCGCGGGCUGGGAGACCCGGGCCGGUAUGGAGUGAGUGGAGCCGCCCGAGAUCAUCAUUUGAGCUAUUCCACUGAAGUCAAGCAUGAAAUCUAUUUAGCUGGAUAGCUACCCAUUUCCUGUGACCUGCAAAAGAGAUGCCCUAUUCUUUCAGGAUCCUUGGAAUGCCACAUGCCCAGGCCCACUGGAAAACUGGGAAGGAAAACUGGAGCCACAUGCCUGGGCCCACUGAGAUUCAUCACCCUUCCCCUACAACCCUGUGUCAAGGAAACACAAAGAUAGAGUGGAUUUCAGCACCACCCAAUGCAGACGCAUGGCUGCUAGUUUAUCAGCAUAGGUCAAUGAAUGGUUUUAAGUUGCUAUGGGUUUAAGAGGAUCUCUUAGUUGAUGGGAAUUUUUGAAUCUUUUUUUUGCGUGGGACCCUUUGGCAGUUUUGUAAAAUGUACAGACUAUUUCUCAGAAUGUUUCUAAACGUGUAAGUUAUAUUGAAAUUGGCCAGGCACGGUGGUUCAUGCCUGUAAUCCCAGCAUUUUGGGAGACCGAGGUGGGCGGAUCACUUGAGGUCAGGAGUUUGAGACCAACCUGGCCAACAUGGUGAAACCCCGUCUCUACUAAAAAAAAUACAAAAGUUAGCCAGGCGUGGUGGUGUGUGCCUGUAAUCCCAGCUACUUGGGAGGCUGAGGCAAGGAGAAUCGCAUAAACCUGGGAUGUGGAGGUUGCAGUGAGCCAAGAUUGUGCCAUUGCACUCCAGCCUGGGUGACAAAGCGAGACUCUGUCUCAGAAAAAAAAACAAAAACAAAAAUAUAUAUAUAUAGAAAUAAAAUUAUCAAGAUUUUUUUAAGAAAUAAGUUUGUGAUAUAUUUCUUUGUUAGCACAUCAAAUGCAAGAUCUAGUGGUGAGUCUAAUAAUUUCUGUGAUAUUGAAACAAUGAUAAGCGUUAAUGAUAAAUUCAAAAUAUCCUCAACAACUAUAAUGUGAUAUGAAGGUAUCUGUGAUUUCUAUUGGUGAGAAAGUCACAGGUAUUGCUAAUGCAUCUGUAGCUUGUUGUCUACAUUCAUAAUGAAAAGAAAUGCUAAUUUUUAAAUAAUGAUUGGUAGAAAUGAAAAUGUAAGUUUUUCAUCCAAGUUUAUGGACUUCUGCUUUUCCUUGAUUGCAUUUGCAAAUCUCCUUACUUCCUCUUGAAGAACCCCUUAGAGGGAGGAAGAGGGGGCAGUUCUAAUAGUACCUUAGAGAUAUGAAAUGAGAUGGUCACAGCCAUAUGAGUAGAUUUUGAUUGGAUUACACUGGGCCCAAGUUUGGAGUGUCAACAUUAAACCUGUGAUAUAAGAUCUUGUUCCUAAGAUGAAAAGUAACUUUAUAUUGUAAUCCUGUAGAGUUGAGAUCUUGAGAAGCAUUCCCUUGAUAAGAGGACACUGGAGGAAGUGUCAAAAUCACCUUCAAAGUAGGAGAGUGGUAACCAGAGCCAGGAAGGACUUGAUAAGGAUGAGUGAAUCACCUCUGCUUGGUGAAUGAGCCCAGGGUGGAGCUCAGCCUCCAUCCAGGGAGCUUCAGUCUCCAUCCAGGGAGUCUUUGUCAAGCAAACAGAGCAAAUCCCCAGAGAGGAGGGGAUCUGCAGUAAGGGUGGGAGAGGCACAUGCAGAUCAGGCAGAACAGCCUGUAGCCUGGCAGCAGAGAGCAGAGAGAGAGCCCAAGCAGGAGUGUCUUCCUGAAGAGUAGACAACGAUUGAUCAUUUAAACUUCAUUCAAAUUAAGAACUUUCACUUAUCAAUAGACAUUACUGAAGAAAAUGGAAAGGCAAACCACAUACUGGGAGGAAAAUAUUCAAGACAUAUAUCUGACAGAAGAUUCAUAUCCACCAUAUCCACAAUAUAUAAAGAGCUCUUACAAGUCAAAAACAAAUACAACCCAAAGAUCAUAAAUGUACAAAAGACUCCACAGACACUUCACAAAGAGGAUAUCCAAAUGGCCAGUAAGCAUUUGAAAAGGUGCUCAAUAUCAUUAGUCAUCAGGACAUGCAAAUUAAGCCUUCACUCAAAUACACAAAUUGCAGAAGGACUGAAAAAGUAGAAAUUCAUGAUGUCAAGUGUUGGAGAGGAUAUGGAGCAACUGAAACUCACACACUGUGGGUGGGAACGUACACUAGUAUACCCACUUUGGAAAGCUUUUAGUAUCUACUAAAACAAAGCACAAAUUGAUGCCCAAGACCCAGUAACUCCAUUCUUAGUUAUAGGCCCAAGAUUGGAUUUGUCUACCAAAAGACAGGUACAAGAAUAUAGCUUUAUGUAUUUUAUAUAUUU
rnacentral:lncRNA from 1 species